UUCAGAAUGCUUCCAAAGGAGGUGCACCUCAGCGAGAGCGAAGACAGCAGCGAUGAGGAAGUUGUUGAAAAGCCACCUUCUGCGAUUGCUCUGCCAAGCUUCAGAUUAUCAAAACAUUCAUUGGAGACGCAGAAGAAACAUCUCCUGCUGCCCCAAACACUGCUACCCAAAUCUGCUGCACCUCCUGCUGCAAAGUCAUCCAAGGUGGCCCAAGAGAGACCUACAAAUGAGAGGAGUCAGUUGCCUGCCCUGGAUAACAGUGCCAGGAGCAAGAAGAGCUGCAAAGAUCCUUCCAUCUCCAAGCACAGGAAAGUGAAGAGAAACCACGGUGAAUUGUGCAAGGG